AGUAAAUGUUCAGAAUAAGAACAUCAAAUACUACUCUGAUCCUGGUCAGAGGCAGUGCGGAAGUAUAAAGAUUGCAGUUCGGCUAUGUUGAAAAAAGGUGUCGCAAGUUCUAGAUCCGCUACGGAGUUCCGUGAAGAGGUCGUUGGACCCUGAAAAUGAUGAGCGGUCUUACAAGCACUUCCACGGUGAUGACCUGUCAGGUUUCAGCGAACCCAUGUGCAAAGAAACCCAGAACGAGUCUGCAAAGCGUGAGCCUUUCAAGGAUUUAAGUUCCUUUCUAGCAGUGUUCAAUAUGUGUAAUUUUACUUUCUCUAUGAAGUGAAUUACGCUCAGGUUGUCUCUCAACGGCAUAAAGAAGCUGUUUUCUGCGUUUUUUCAGUUUUUAUAUUGCUAUGAAAUAAAAAUCUAGUCAUUUCCUUUUUGUUUAUUUCUAAAAAUAAAUUGAAUGUUCCCUGA